GGGUGUGUGUUAAUGAGGUUAGAGAGAAUCCAACAGAGGAAGGGAAAAGACAAGAUGUCACAUGUUUCUUGUGUUGCCAGAAUUUAACUCCUAAUAGGAGGAAUAAAAUAUGAUGAUGGACUGAAAGGCAGUUUAUGAUUGGUGUGUGCCCCAUGUGCCAACAACUGGUCCCAAGUUUUCAUCAGAUGAUCCUUCUACAAGCAUCUGGGAUUCACUGUGGUAGCUUGGGUACCACACGGACAAAUUUUUGUUCUAAGAGCACAUGUCAUUUGCUGGUAAAGUCACAUUAUGAAUAGUCACAGGACUGUUUUUAGUAUAAGAUGUCCAAUCAUGUAUUUUCUGCUACAAAACAAUCCAUAAAAAGUUUCUUUUGGAGCCCUAAGACAUUUGGUUCAAGGGACACAAGCAUUCCAAUCCACCUAUUGCCGACACUGGAUGGUCUCUGUUCUGUUGGCGUGGCUUUGGAAGAGACAAGCAUUCUGUUGCCAUUCUGGGUCACCAUCCCGUGCAGCCACACAGGAGACCAGGCGGUGGAGAAAGUACUUUUACAACCAGGGGUCAGAGUUAGGAUGUAAACUCCUGGCAGCUUGUUGCUUUACAUCUUGGUAUCCCUCAUCAUAAAUAAUUUGUUUGUAUGUUUCAGGGGAUCAAAGCAUGUUUGCUCUUUCUGACUGCAUGUAGUUUUAUUUUCUGGCCAUAAUUGAACUUAGAGUAUACAAAGUUAUCAUCUGACUUCUUCCAUUACUGACCAGUUGCUAGGUUUCAAUUUUGCAGUAAACACUUGAUCCAUUUUCUGGUUGCCUCACUCAGAUGAAUGAAUUCCCAGAAAGAGAGGUCAGGCCACCUGCCUUUUCACAGACUGUCCUUUGGAAACAAGAUCAAGGGCUGAAGACAUGGUAGCAGGGACAGUGGCAUGGAUAAAGGCAUGAAAGAGCCUCCAGGAGGAUCUUACCAUUGGGGAGCACUUAGAAUCGUCGGUCCUCCUCAGAUUUCAUAGUGUUCUGUGAGGCUGGUAUCAGGGUUUUGCGGUGAUCCUGAUCAUGGCCUUGAAUGUGUGGCUCAUGACUCAGGCUGCGCUAUGGUCUCUCCCUGGCACUUGAUGUCUGGCCAGGUACAGGAUAAGGCUGUAGAAGAAGCAAUUGAAAGUAUCAGGGUGCAGGGCUGAGGUUAGGGGAGGUUUGCCAACUCAUUUCUACGGCAAUGAAAUGUCUUCCCUUGGAAAAUCCUGCAACUAAGAUUUCCAUGCCAUACUCUGCUAGGCUUCUCAGACCAAAAUGAUUUAACUGUGGGGAUAGGAUGCUAUGAGGCUUGAGGCUUUGAUCUCUAGCUUGUGGAAACACAUUUUGGGAUGAUGUGGUUUUAGCUUAUUCUGCUUUUCCACCUUUUUUAAAGAGAAAAAAAAAAUGCCAUGUUUGUAAGAUUGAAAGAUGGUGAUAAAGAUUGUUAGUCCAUAUAAAGUCACUUAAACUGUUUUCGUAUUUUUCAGAGAUGGCUGAGUCCAUGUGUGAGUGCCUCAGUGCAGCUUUCCUUGCUAUAAACAGAGAGGCUUUAAAAUACUGGAUGAAUGCCAGCGUUGGUUAGCAUUAGCAUUGGCUCAUGUUGAAGUUCACAUUGACCUCAAAGCGAAAGUUUAUCUUUUGAGGUCACUUUGACCUUGGGGAGGUUAGCUAUUGUAAAUUUCUAGGGAGAAUACUGCUUGGUUGACUGCCUUUUCUUCUCCAUGAUGUUCGAAAGAAAAUCCCCCCAACCAGAAGGCUUACUUCCUCCGCCAAAGUGGUGGUCCAUCUGCAGAAUUGCUGGCUCUAUGAUCCCAAGAUCAACCCAUGUAGCACCCAGUCCCAGACUGGGGAUUUAUUGUGUUAGCUGUUUUACAGGUGUUGUUCCUGAGGUGCCAAGAGGGCCACGCAGCUGAACUAAAUCAAUAAGAAAUGAGGUUGAUGGUGGUGUGGAGAUGCAAUGGAUGUGAGAUGGGGGCAGGUCCUAGAAUUCCUGAUUCUUGAUUCGAAUCCACAAAUCCACGGAGAGCUGGCCAUGACAGCCUGUCCAGGUCUCCUGGUGCUGGUCUGUGAGAAUCUGAGACUGAGGACCAGUCAGGACGGUGAGGGAGACAAAGCUGGUCCUGUUCUCAAGCCACCCCUUGUCUUUCAAAAUCUUAUUAAAAUAUGAAAAAAUAAGUCCCUGUAUUUUUGUAUUGCUCUUCAUCCUGUUUGUGAUGCCAAUUGUCUCGCUGUUCACUGUGCGCACUGUUCGCUGAACCCAGGGUCGGCAAGGCCCAAGCUAAGAGGUUGGAAGGAGACUCGAGGAGCCGCAGGAACUGCAGACACGUGUUCUCUCCUGGCGGACACGGCAGCCGUAACACAGCGUCUCUGCUGGCUGCCGUAGCAGCCGUAGCAGCAGCCGCAACGUCACCAUAAUAUAGUAAUAACAUGGCCACGAUGCCACUCCAGUGUAGCCCCUACGCCACAGCAGCCAGGGCCUUGUGGUGGAGCUCUUACAGACGUGUGGAGCAAAGCGCCUCGGGACCAAGCGAGGACCUCGUGACCCGCAUGCACAGUGCGAUAAGUGCGCUCAGCUGCUGCUGCUGCUGCUGCUGCUGCUAAAUCGCUUCAGUUGUGUCCGACUUUGUGCAACCCGAUAGACGGCAGCCCACCAGGCUCUCCCGUCCCUGGGAUUCUCCAGGCAAGAACACUGGAGUGGGUUGCCAUUUCCUUCUCCAAUGCAUGAAAGUGAAAAGUAAAAGUGAAGUCGCUCAUAGCGACCCCCUGGAUGGCAGCCUACCAACUACAGAGGCAUUCACAAAACAUGGGAAUAAGAAUGGUAUCGGGGGCACGUGGGAAGACGUGGGAUUCCAGCGGAACUUUCUUGACAUUUGACCCAUCUUUGAGACAAAUGGAAAGACUGAAGGAAAUCUCAUGGACAGAGGAGCCUGGUGAGCCACAGUCCACAGGGUCACGAAGAGUGGGACAUGACUGAAGUGACGUGGAGUGCAUGCGUGCAGAGCAGUUUUGCCCAGUGCUUCAAAACUCCCCAUUCUUCAUGGCCCUGAGUCUACACUGCUGCUACUUCAAGGGGUCAAUUUAGGAAGGAAGGAAAGAAAGAAGGAAGGGGAUUCCUACAAUGUGGCUCAGCUGUUGAUCCGAUACACUCAACAUUCAGGCACCUUCGGGCUCCCAUCACUGUGGUGCUGUGAGCUUCUCAGACUCAGCACCACACAGAAUCAUCUGGGAGCUUUUAAAAGCACUAAUGUUGGGCUGCAUCCCAGACCAAUUAAAUCAAAAUCACUGUGGCUGUGACCCAGUUAUUAGUAUUUUUUAAAGCUCACCAAGUGAUUCCUAUAUGCAGCCAAGAAUUUGUGUGUGCUAAUAUGUGACAUUUUUGUAGAUUAUUUUAGGGGUACUGCAUUUUUUAUUUUGUCAAACUAUUGGUCCUUGAGGAAUUCUUUGUUUUUGUAGCCUUCUUGAUGUCUAGCCCUGUUUCUUAUCCUC
ensembl:lncRNA